GCGGUGUGUACAAAGGGCAGGGACGUAAUCAACGCAAGCUGAUGACUUGCGCUUACUAGGAAUUCCUCGUUCGUGAGCAAUAAUUGCAAUGCUCAGUCCCCAGCACGACGGAGUUUAACAAGAUUACCCAUACCUCUCGGCAAAGGCCAAAACUCGUUGGCUCCGUCAGUGUAACGCGCGUACAGCCCAGAACAUCUAAGGGCAUCACAGA
rnacentral:misc_RNA from 1 species